AUUGAACGCUAGCGGGAUGCCUUACACAUGCAAGUCGAACGGAGUGGCGAACGGGUGAGUAAUGUAUCGGAACGUGCCCAGUAGCGGGGGAUAACUACCCGAAAGCGUAGCUAAUACCGCAUACUAUUGGAGCGGCCGAUGUCGGGUUAGCUAGUUGGUGGGGUAACGGCUUACCAAGGCGACGAUCCGUAGCUGGUUUGAGAGGACGACCAGCCAAACGGGGACUGGGACACGGCCCAGACUCCUACGGGAGGCAGCAGUGGUGAAUUUUUGGAAAUGGGGGAAACCCUGAUCCAGCCAUGCCGCGCGUGUGAUGAAGGCCUUCGGGUUGUAAAGCACUUUUGGCAGGAAAGCGGUACCUGCAGAAUAAGCACCGGCUAACUACGUGCCAGCCGCCGCGGUAAUAC
rnacentral:rRNA from 1 species